rfam:Schistosoma haematobium scaffold286_27, whole genome shotgun sequence.
ACCUUGCUGGCGAGUGCCAAGUAGCACGAAACCCGGGUCCAAGGU